rnacentral:lncRNA from 1 species
GGGGUAAACUAAACCAACAUCCAAAGUUUAAUGUCCUAUAUACCCGGUUUUAUAGAUCAAGCCCAAAACUAGACACCCAUCAAUACUUCAUGGGGUUAUUUAGACUUUUUCCGACAGGAAAACGAUAUGGCACUAGACUUAUGUGACGAACACAAGAUCACUCGAAACUAAGGGUAUAUGUGAACCUAACAGUAUACCAAAAGCUUUGAUUAUCACUUGAUGAGAACAAGGGUGGCCCGAUCUUCCGAAUGGUUCUGGUAACUCUCGAUUUGGUGGAGACGAGACACAACGAUCCAGCUUCCGAAUAACAUGAUCCGAAACUCUGUAGUUUUUUUUAUUUUUUUUAUAUUUUUCUUUUACUUAGGAGCACUAAAGAAGUAAUUCUAGAAAAUUUGAGCUUAAACAAGUGAAAGACGUGGCCUGCG